GAGGGUGUAGCUCAGUGGUAGAGUAUGCGCUUAGCAUGCACAAGGCCCUGGGUUCCAUUCCCAGCACUGCCA
rfam:Ictidomys tridecemlineatus contig108992, whole genome shotgun sequence.